rnacentral:rRNA from 1 species
AGCAGCCGCGGUAAUUCCAGCUCCAAUAGCGUAUAUUAAAGUUGUUGCAGUUAAAAAGCUCGUAGUUGAAUUUCGGAACCAAUACGUCGGUCGUGCUUCGGUACGUACUGGCGUAAUUGGUUUCUCCCCUCUGACGAACCAUGAUGUCAUUAACUUGGUGUCAUGGGAAAUCAGGACUGUUACUUUGAAAAAAUUAGAGUGUUUAAAGCAAGCUAACGCUUGAAUACAUUAGCAUGGAAUAAUGAAAUAGGACGUUCGAUCCUAUUUUGUUGGUUUCUAGGAUUGACGUAAUGAUUAAUAGGGAUAGUUGGGGGCAUUAGUAUUCAAUUGUCAGAGGUGAAAUUCUUGGAUUUAUUGAAGACUAACUACUGCGAAAGCAUUUGCCAAGGAUGUUUUCAUUAAUCAAGAACGAAAGUUAGGGGAUCGAAGACGAUCAGAUACCGUCGUAGUCUUAACCAUAAACUAUGCCGA